rnacentral:lncRNA from 1 species
CUCCUCGCCUUCUCCCCUCCCCUCCCGCACUUUUCCUCCCUCCAGUUCCUAGGAAAGAGAAGCCAACGCUGCUGGUGGGUAGAGAAGCACUCCGCGCCUCCAGGAGGGAACUGCGCUCACCCCAUCUGAGCCCCAGGACACGGCCAGACGAGGUACUCGCUCCAGCUUCGAUGGGAUCCGGGAGGCUCUAGCCUGAGGGUGUUGUGUGUGUGUCUAAGCCGGCUGGUGGGGGCCCCCUUCUCCGAGUCGGGGAGGGGAGCACCGAGAUCCUGGGUGGGGCGCAGGCCGGCGAGUUUGAUUGUAAAGGGUUUUAAGGACGGAAUGCAAGGGCCAGGGCACGCCGCUGGCGGAGAGUUUCGAGUGGCCGGGUAGAGGUUUCGGAGAAGGCGCCCCUUGAAAGCAGAAGACUUAGCUGCUGCGGACUGGGAGUUUGCCACCUGGAGGGUUAGCUCUAAAAGGGGGAGCAUCCUCUCCAUCCAAAAGGAGAACAUUGACCCUGGCUGGGUGGCUGGGACAAGCCCUUGCUUCAAAUGACUGCUUCCCUUGGGCACCCCCCUGGGACAGAGCCCGGCUUCGAGUGUUGUGGGGGUUGUGAGUUGGCUGGGCACCGCGGGGAGCCGCCCUUGGCAGAGCUAGGGCAGAAGAGUGGGUAAGGAGACCUCCCUCCUCCCAAUUUCCGUGCGCUUCCCCCACUUCUUCCUUUAGUGCUCUCUGGCCCCGGUGUCCUACCGGAGAGGUACCGCCUCCGCCCCCCAAGUGGGCAGGCAUCACAGCGUAAAAGAAAGAGAGAGGGUGGAACUGGUUCUCUUGCCCCUCAAUGAUACUUAGAAUGUUUGGCAAGUGCCAGAAUGGCAUAUUUAGCCAAGUCUCCCAUCUCGAUAUUAAAUCUGGUGUAAAUUAUUUUAGAAAAUGCAGUUCUGAAAAGCUCCAAACUAUGGGCUAAUUUAGCUUAGCAUUGUUUGGUAGAUACGCGUUUGUAAAAAAUACACUAGGGGAACCGUAUAGAUAUAGAGGUCUAGGCGAAACAUGUUGAGGCAAGCCUUUUCCAACAUCUUUCUUAUCUGCCAGUAAGCCUGCCCUAGUUUAAAUGAAGCAGAAUGAUUCUCUUCACGUAUACUUCAGUUAGUGACCGAAUUGUAGGUACUGUGUGAUUAUAGAUGUCUCAGAAUAGAGGCGUGAACAUUCAGAGAGACAAGAUUCUCUGCUUUUGCGCCUGUCUCCUAAUCUUUUAAGGAGAUAAUUGUGGUCAAGUGGAAGUAUUGGCUUUGAGGUUAGGUAAAUCUGGGAUUGAACCCGGACUGCCACUAGCUAGUUGUUGACCUUGGACAAGUCAAGAACUUACCAGAGAUACAAUUUCUUCAAAGUAAUAUGAGUUAAAAUACUUACCAGUGUUGUAAGGGGGAGUAAUGUAUUUAAAUAACAGCCCACUUUAAAUGGAAGCACCUUCCAAUUGAAAGAUAAAUUAUUAAUAAUCUUAACACGGUUAAGGUAGCUUAGUUUUAUGGAUUAGGGUUUGAGAUAGGAACAGAACUGGAUAAUAUUCCAAAACAUAUUUGUACAACAGGAUUUUCUGUGGCUUCUAGAAAUUGAUCAUAAGCAGCAUCAAAUUAUCAGGAGUUUCUUAAAAAGUAUGUGAAUUAACUGAAACGACCUAUGAUGUUUCAAAGGUUUUUCUCAGAUUUGUGAUGUGUAUGGCAUGGGUUGAUAAGAAAAACAUUUAAAAAGCAGUGUAUAUAAAUCUUAAUUAACAUCACAUGUCUUUAUAGAGAAUUAAAAUUGAGGCAUAAAACAAAGUACUUUUAAUUUUACGAUUAAAAUCAACAAAAGUAGUAUGAUUCAUGUUAAGUAGAUUUAAGCUUAUUAGCAAAACAUAGAAUUUUAUAUGUAUAAUAUUCUGUGAAAUAAAUGAAAAUGGAAUGAAUUUUUGCCUUUGAAGUAUUUGUGAUGACAUAGAAAUUAUCUCAGAAGUUUUUAUAUCAUUUGUUUUGUAGAUUUAAAAUGAUACAGUUGUAUGUAACCUAUUAAAUGUCAGAUUUUCAGCUAGUUUGCUUUUUAAUGUAAUGUAGUUUGUAAUUUAAAAUUUUUAAAUAUACUUUAUAUUCAAAAGAUAAUAGAUUUUUGUGCAAAAAGUUGGUGUAAAGUUUUAAUUCAGUAUCACUUUUUAGAGAAGUUUAUAGGUUUCAUAAUUUUUUUUUUUUUUUGGUCUUUUUGCUAUUUCUUGGGCCGCACCUGCGGCAUAUGGAGGUUCCCAGGCCAGGGUUUGAAUCUGAGCUGUAGCAACUGGCCUACACCACAGCUCACCACAACACUGGAUCCAACCCACUGAGUGAGGUCAGGGAUUGAACCCAUGAUCUUGUGGAUCCUAGUCGGGUUCAUUAACCACUGAGCCGCGAUGGGAACUCCUAUAGUCAAAAUUAUUAAUGGGAUAUUUAUACUAUUUUUUAAAGUGUUGAAAAUAUGUUUUUAUUGGAGUUGUAGAUUUUUUUGUAAGAUUAUUCAACUUUCUCAAUGGCUUUUCUGAUAUUGUAAAGUCUUCAGAGUAUAUAUAAGUGUUGAAUUGUGUUUUCCUGGAUUAUUUUUCAACAUCUUUCAAAUCUUCAAGUUGAGACUGUAUUGUCUUGCUUUGGCAAAGCCAUCAGAAGCUCCCAUUUCCCCUCCCCAUCUUCUUAUAAAGCUUUAAUAAAUCAUUUGUUAGGAGAGGUAGGAUACCAGCUGUAAAAAUAUCUAUCUAAAAUGUAGGUAAUAGUAGAAACUGUCAGAGAUGAUAGUUUUCCCAAAGACCUUUUCCACUUAGGCAAAGUAUGUGGCCAUUCCACUGAUCUUUGCAGUUGUCAGUUAUGGAAUUUGCUUGUCCGGAAAUCUAAAAAUGACUAAACCUUCCUUUAAUGCCUAUCUCUUGGGUGAUCUCAGAAAUCUUUAGGAAAGACUGGAAAAGUUUACAUAUCAUAUUGGAAUAUAUAAUGAACAAAGUACAGUUAACUUUAUUCAUGCUGCCAGAUCAAGAGUGAGUUAACUGUAUAAAUGUUUAAAAAGUGCCAUAUAGUGCCUCACUCAAACCAAAUGAAUGAAUAUUCUUCCAGAGCUUGUUUCUAUUUCAGAGCAUAUUUCUUUUUGAAGCUAUAAUUUGGUCUCUAAUAAGGAUAAAUGAUCAUUGUAUCCAGGCUGUUAUCAUAGACAGAUUUUAGUAUCACCAGUCUUGAUAGAAAGUGCUUCAUUGGCUUCAGAGAAGUGGAAGUAAAUUUUC